AGUGAACGCUGGCGGUAGGCCUAACACAUGCAAGUCGAACGGCAGCACAGUAAGAGCUUGCUCUUACGGGUGGCGAGUGGCGGACGGGUGAGGAAUACAUCGGAAUCUACUUUUUCGUGGGGGAUAACGUAGGGAAACUUACGCUAAUACCGCAUACGACCUACGGGUGAAAGCAGGGGAUCUUCGGACCUUGCGCGAUUGAAUGAGCCGAUGUCGGAUUAGCUAGUUGGCGGGGUAAAGGCCCACCAAGGCGACGAUCCGUAGCUGGUCUGAGAGGAUGAUCAGGCACACUGGAACUGAGACACGGUCCAGACUCCUACGGGAGGCAGCAGUGGGGAAUAUUGGACAAUGGGCGAAAGCCUGAUCCAGCCAUACCGCGUGAGUGAAGAAGGCCUUCGGGUUGGAAAGCCCUUUUGUUGGGAAAGAAAAGCAGCAGGUUAAUACCCCGCUGUUCUGACGGUACCCAAAGAAUAAGCACCGGCUAACUUCGUG
rnacentral:rRNA from 1 species